UACAGAGGUCUCGAGCGUUAGGCGGAAUCACUGGGCUUAAAGCGUGUGUAGGCGGAUCGUUAAGUGCCUUGUGAAAUCCCACGGCUCAACCGUGGAACUGCUUGGCAUACUGGCGGUCUUGAGCAACCUAGGGGCGAGCGGAACAAAUGGUGGAGCGGUGAAAUGCGUAGAUAUCAUUUGGAACGCCAAUGGUGAAAGCAGCUCGCUGGGGGUUUGCUGACGCUGAGACACGAAAGCCAGGGGAGCAAACGGG
rnacentral:rRNA from 1 species